rnacentral:rRNA from 1 species
GUGGGGAAUCUUAGACAAUGGGGGAAACCCUGAUCUAGCCAUGCCGCGUGAGCGAUGAAGGCCUUAGGGUUGUAAAGCUCUUUCAGCUGGGAAGAUAAUGACGGUACCAGCAGAAGAAGCCCCGGCUAACUCCGUGCCAGCAGCCGCGGUAAUACGGAGGGGGCUAGCGUUGUUCGGAAUUACUGGGCGUAAAGCGCGCGUAGGCGGACCAGAAAGUUGGAGGUGAAAUCCCAGGGCUCAACCUUGGAACUGCCUUCAAAACUCCUGGUCUGGAGUUCGAGAGAGGUGAGUGGAAUUCCGGGUGUAGAGGUGAAAUUCGUAGAUAUUCGGAGGAACACCAGUGGCGAAGGCGGCUCACUGGCUCGAUACUGACGCUGAGGUGCGAAAGCGUGGGGAGCAAACAGGAUUAGAAACCCGGGUAGUCC